UACAGCCAUAUCAUGUUGAAACAUCCGUUCCCAUAUGAUAACCAGAUUUAAGCAACAUCGAGCAUGGUCAGUACCUAAAUGGGUGACCACUUGGGAAUACCAGGUGCUGUAAG